GAGCGCCUCCAUUUCAGUCAUUUUACCAGCAGUAGAUACAUCUGCAGCGUUGGAUGGCUAUCGAUUCUGCAGCUUGUGCUCAUGUAAAUCAAUAAUCAAGCAACAUCAGGCCUCAUCUGCUUUCUAGGUUUCAUCUUCCGCUUCGGCUCACCAAGUCUUCAAAUAGUCCAUGAACCGUCCUAUUUAGGCUCAUCUAAAGGAGAAAAGCUGAGUGAAAGCUUAGGUAAUAAAUCUGAUGCAAAGUCUGUACACGCCCGGAGCUUUUUGCAUUUCUCUGCUUCAGAAUCCAGCGUCUUCUUGUUCUGUGGAAUCUUUGCUUCAGACUUGGAUUGCUCUCUUACUCUGGUGAUGGAGGGCGUCCGUACAAUCGACCUCCUCUGUUUCUUUGGCUUCCUCACGUCGUACUCAUCAUCCUCAAGAUCCUGA